rnacentral:rRNA from 1 species
GCAAGUCGAACGGUGAAGAGGAGCUUGCUUCUUGGAUCAGUGGCGAACGGGUGAGUAACACGUGAGUAACCUGCCCUUGACUCUGGGAUAACUGCUAGAAAUGGUGGCUAAUACCGGAUACGACCCUCGGCCGCAUGGUCAGGGGGUGGAAAGAAUUUUGGUCAAGGAUGGACUCGCGGCCUAUCAGGUAGUUGGUGAGGUAAUGGCUCACCAAGCCUACGACGGGUAGCCGGCCUGAGAGGGUGACCGGCCACACUGGGACUGAGACACGGCCCAGACUCCUACGGGAGGCAGCAGUGGGGAAUAUUGCACAAUGGGCGAAAGCCUGAUGCAGCAACGCCGCGUGAGGGACGACGGCCUUCGGGUUGUAAACCUCUUUUAGUAGGGAAGAAGCGAAAGUGACGGUACCUGCAGAAAAAGCACCGGCUAACUACGUGCCAGCAGCCGCGGUAAUACGUAGGGUGCAAGCGUUGUCCGGAAUUAUUGGGCGUAAAGAGCUCGUAGGCGGUUUGUCGCGUCUGCUGUGAAAUCCGGAGGCUCAACCUCCGGCCUGCAGUGGGUACGGGCAGACUAGAGUGCGGUAGGGGAGAUUGGAAUUCCUGGUGUAGCGGUGGAAUGCGCAAAUAUCAGGAGGAACACCGAUGGCGAAGGCAGAUCUCUGGGCCGUAACUGACGCUGAGGAGCGAAAGCAUGGGGAGCGAACAGGAUU